rnacentral:lncRNA from 1 species
GAAGGCGGGGGACCCGGGACUUCCAAGUGUCCAAAAACAAUCCAUUGAUACACUUGGUGACAUUAAUUGAGAAAAAAACAAUAUGGUCUGGCCAUGGAGGCAUGGUAUCCGUAACAUCCCCCAAAGGAGCUAAAGAAGAAAUCCACAAUUUACCAUGAGCAUUUCUCGUCUGAAGAUUGCCAAGCGAUUCCUCCAGGACAUUCCUCAAGAUCAAUUUCUGUUCAUCCACCUUGUCCUGGGAGGGACAUCAAUGGGUUUCCAUGUCCUUUGGCUUCUGGUUGAGUUCACUCAGUGGAGAACCCUGGCAAGAGGCAGGAAAAGGGGAGGAAGUGUGAGAAAUGGAAAGGAGGUCACUAAGAGACUUGCAAUGGAUGUAAUAACUGGAUGCAGAAACUCUGGAUCUGAAGGGAAUGUUCAUGACUAUUUCAUCCCUCCUGCUGCCUUGGAGAACCAAACGCAGGAGCCACCCAAGGUGAAAACCAUCCAUUUCUUGGAGAAGUGCCACGGUGGGGUUGCAAGUCCCAGGAUCAAGUUUUCGAUGUGUCUCUUUUUCCCGUAAAGUGGCUGAAAUCUGAAGCUGAAUCUGCAAGUGUCAUGGAGUCAUUGAAUCUCACAGUCUCAACUGAUAAAAGUUAUUAAAGGUCGUCUGGUUCAGCCUUCUACUUGAUGUGGAAAUCCUUUCUACAGUAACUCUGUGUGGGAAUCACAGUUCACUUAGGGGCUUAGUCUCAUAGUCAAAAUGUCUUCUUCCUAAGUGGGAAAUUACUUCCAGCUUCUAUUCAUUCAGUAGUUGUUUAAUACUAUCUCUCUCUCUCUCUAUAUAUAUAUGUAUUAUAUAUA